rnacentral:tRNA from 1 species
GGGGAUGUAGCUCAGGGGGAGAGCACUGCCUUCGCAAGGCAGGGGUCGGGGGGUCAAAUCCCCCCAUCUCCA